UCCCUGGUGGUCCAGUGGCUAAGACUCUGAGCUCCCAAUGCAAGGGGCCAGGGUUCAAUCCCUGGUCAGGGAA
rfam:TPA: Bos taurus chromosome 11, whole genome shotgun sequence.